rnacentral:rRNA from 1 species
GAUGAACGCUGGCGGCGUGCCUAAUACAUGCAAGUAGAACGCUGAAGGAGGAGCUUGCUCUUCUGGAUGAGUUGCGAACGGGUGAGUAACGCGUAGGUAACCUGCCUGGUAGCGGGGGAUAACUAUUGGAAACGAUAGCUAAUACCGCAUGACAACAGUUAUUGCAUGAUAACUGUUUAAAAGGGGCAACUGCUCCACUACCAGAUGGACCUGCGUUGUAUUAGCUAGUUGGUGAGGUAACGGCUCACCAAGGCGACGAUACAUAGCCGACCUGAGAGGGUGAUCGGCCACACUGGGACUGAGACACGGCCCAGACUCCUACGGGAGGCAGCAGUAGGGAAGCUUCGGCAAUGGACGGAAGUCUGACCGAGCAACGCCGCGUGAGUGAAGAAGGUUUUCGGAUCGUAAAGCUCGGUUGUAAGAGAAGAACGAGUGUGAGAGUGGAAAGUUCACACUGUGACGGUAUCUUACCAGAAAGGGACGGCUAACUACGUG